rnacentral:rRNA from 1 species
UGGGGAAUAUUGGACAAUGGGCGAAAGCCUGAUCCAGCAAUGCCGCGUGUGUGAAGAAGGUCUUCGGAUUGUAAAGCACUUUCGACGGGGACGAUGAUGACGGUACCCGUAGAAGAAACCCCGGCUAACUUCGUGCCAG